CGUAACAAGGUUUCCGUAGGUGAACCUGCGGAAGGAUCAUUAUCGAAAUUAUCGGUGAGGGUUGUAGCUGGCCUUUCGGGGCACGUGCACGCCCGAGCCCUUUAAUCCACUUUACACCUGUGAACCUAAUGUAGGUCGCCCCUCGAAAAGGUGGCCUACGUCUUAUCAUCAACCCCAUCGUAUGUCUCAUAGAAUGUAAAUCAAUAUCCUCGCCUUAAAAAAGCGUUGAUAAACUUUAUACAACUUUCAACAACGGAUCUCUUGGCUCUCGCAUCGAUGAAGAACGCAGCGAAAUGCGAUAAGUAAUGUGAAUUGCAGAUUUUCAGUGAAUCAUCGAAUCUUUGAACGCACCUUGCGCUCCUUGGUAUUCCGAGGAGCAUGCCUGUUUGAGUGUCAUUAAAUUCUCAACUCCAAAGGGUUUCACGACCUCUUGGAGAUUGGACUUGGAGCGUGCCGGCGUCCACGUCGGCUCCUCUCAAAUGCAUCAGCGGAAUUCAAUCUUUGGGCUUCCGGAGUCGGUGUGAUAAUCAUGUUGCGCUGUCGUCGGAAUCCUCAGAGUCCGCUCAUUAAUGGUCUUUGGACAAAUCAUCAUCAAAUUUGACCUCAAAUCAGGUAGGACUACCCGCUGAACUUAAGCAUAUCAAUAAGCGGAGGAAAAGAAACUAACAAGGAUUCCCCUAGUAACUGCGAGUGAAGCGGGAAAAGCUCAAAUUUAAAAUC
rnacentral:rRNA from 1 species